UUUAAUAUGGCAGAAUAGUGCAUUGAAUUUAAGCUUCAAUUAUAAAGUUUUUAACUUUUAUUAAAA